rnacentral:lncRNA from 1 species
UGGUGUGUUGGGUUCGACCAAGAACAGGGGGAAACAAGGGAAACCCUUGUUUAUGCAAAAUUCAUUCAAUUGACAAGGAGAUUCAAGGCUAAUCAGUUGCAUGACUUCAAUUUUUCGAUCAUCUUAACAUACUCAGUAAAGUGGCGUGAAGGAAGAAGGUACAAGCACUAGGAAAACGGGAAGCACGCAAGAUCGAGGUAAAACUCCACUUUAGGCGAUUUGGAGAUACGGAGCGAGCACGUGUCCAUGCUUUAUUAUACCAAGCGCUUCCGCUAGUUAUAUGCACACUUUUUGGGUCCAUGUCUUGUUAUUUUGUUUAAUCUUGUUAGAAGUCAUACACUUAAAAACUUGUUGUCUUCGUUUUGGGAAGUUUAAAGUUAAAUGGGUCGUAGAUUUUCGUUAGUUUAAUAUAUUAAAAACAGGUGGCAUGCUCGUUUUACGAACGGGUCAUGCCCAAUUUUUGUAAGAAUUUCGUUAUGUUUUAUCUUUUUAUGGAAAAGCGGACCUUACAAGUUGGUAUCAGAGCCAAGGUUUGAGGGAUUCGAGCAUUCGAGGUGAUGCUUAAACUCAAACCGACGGCUCGUUCAAAAGCGUGCUCGCUCCAAGAUCGCCAAUGAGGUAACAAUUUAAAUUUUUUUUUUAAUAAACGCAAGUAUGUGUAAUGUGCUUGUAAAGUUAAGUUAAGUUAAGUAUGCGAAGGGGUAAAUAUGGAGGGCAAAAUGAUGAGUUCUAGCGACCGUACGGCUGGAAACGGACCCGAAAAAGAAUUAAAAUACAAAAAUUGAAAUCUGCAGCGAAGUGAUCAAGGGGAGGCCGUCGCCGACGCCUCACCUGCCCGUCGCCGACGCCCUCAUUUGGGCCGACGCCCUAACCCACUGUCUACGGGGUUUUCACUCGACGCACAUAUUUAGAAGCCGUCGCCGACGGGCUUCCUUGCCGUCGCCGACGGCUAGCAAAAAUUUAGCCCGCUGAUUUGUAUAGUUUUUCGCAUUUUAAGUUUCCGCAUUAUAUGAAAGCCUAUUUAAUUAUUACAUAAAGUCCAUAUAAGGCCUAAUAGAGGUAUGUAACCACAAUUAGUGGUUACGAUGGGAUGGGCUCGGUAGAGUCAAAGGUAAUGUGUCGAAUGACACGAACGAAUGAUGAAAGCUUAAAAAGCGAGUGAAGCCUACAAUAUAAAAAUGCGAAUGAAGUAAACACGGACUAAUGAACUAUGAUAUACUAAAAGCUUGUGAAUUAUGAUUUAAGUUCCCAUACUUCUCAGAAAUGCCCGUUUUAUGUUCCUGUCAAGUUAUGUAGAUCGUCGGCGAUAAAGUAAGAUUUAUAAAAGUCGAAUGUAACGUAUGGAAUGGCAUGAAAUGAAUGACGAAUGUAUAAAGUGGAAUUGGAAUUCGUAUGAAAAUUUGGAUGAAUGUAUGCUAUGAUAGAAUUAUGCAUUAGAGGCUUGUACCUUGUACAUGAAUAGCGUGAUGCUUAUGUAUAUUUAAUGAUUUGCUUUAGUAUGAUCAAGAGACGAAUAUGUGCUAAAUGUGAAUCAUACAAGCUAAUUAGUAAAGGUUAUGUUGAAAUUAUGUUAUAUAGUUGUUUCGAAUGAAAUUCGCUAAUUGUAGAAUCAUGGAGCAUUAGCAUGUGAAAAUACGUGUAUGUGAAUGUAUAUGUGUAUUGUUUAGAAGAUCACGUAAAUGGUAUAUAUCAUACAAUACGAGUACUAAAUGCGUAGGAUAUUAAUAUUAUGGUCUACCAUAUUUAGAUGAAUACAUGUUCAAAAGUUUAAAGUGUGUAAGCAAGACAGUUGACUAUCUAAAAGUCAACAGUAUAGGGAUAUUAUGAAAUAAUCAUUAGACACAAAUGCUAAAAUAAAGAGUUGAUGUGUUAUGUGUUAUGUAUUAAGUGAUUUACGUGUAAUGCUUGAUGAUAGUUUAGUUGUAUGGAUUGGAAAUGAGAUAACUAUUAAUAAUAAAUGUCUCAUUUAUACGAAAUUUGACUAACGGAAGUCAAUCAACGUAUGAAUAAAAAAAAAGGGUGAAUAGUUGUAUGUAUGCUCACAUAAGUUAACAAUGUUACGAACGUAAUAACAUGUAAGGAUGGAAAUUUUGUCAAUUGACUCAAGCAUGGAUGGCGAAAAAAAAAAAAAACGGGGGAAGCAAUGAGGCAAGCAUGAACAUGGACGCUAAAGGUAAGUGAUUUCGCAAUCACUUCGAAUUUAUUUACAAGAAGAUGUAUACGUGUUUGAAUAUAUUCGAAAUCAAAGUGAAACGUAUAAAUAAAUGAGAAAUGUUAAGGUAGGUUUUGUUGAAAUGGUUGGCAGAUUGUUAAACCGACAAGACCUCAUUAUAGGGGUAGACCGGUCAUAAAUUUUAGCUGAGAAGUUUUAAGACGGAAAUGAGAACUUGGUAAUAUUGAAGAAAGGCAUGGAAAGAAUAUUACUUAAGAUGUAACUAAAGACAUUUUGUAAGUAUGUUCGAAUUGAAAGUAAGUACAACGCAUACCACGAUACUUAUAUACAUAAUAAGUUCUAAGUGGUGAUUGACUUUAAAAGGUUAAAUUGCAGAAGUCAGUAAAUAAUAAUUAUUUAUAAAUUUUGGAAGUAUUACGUAAGAAAUGCAAUGUGUAAUGUAUGAUACUCAUUAGUAAGGGAUAUGUGAGAGAACGUAGAUGAAUUAACACCAAAUACAGUGAAUGAACAAAUGAAAAUAGUAUAUUAAGGGAUGGUUAUGUAUUAACCGAAGCUCGAGAAAACACGAGAAUCAUCUCACUUAUGUCCGGUCAAACUAGUAAAAAGGGGUCUAACGAUUCUUAAAGGAUCG